rnacentral:rRNA from 1 species
UACGUAGGGUCCGAGCGUUGUCCGGAAUUACUGGGCGUAAAGAGCUCGUAGGUGGUUUGUCGCGUUGUUCGUGAAAACUCACAGCUUAACUGUGGGCGUGCGGGCGAUACGGGCAGACUUGAGUACUGCAGGGGAGACUGGAAUUCCUGGUGUCAGCGGUGGAAUGCGCAGAUAGUCAGGAGGAACACCGGUGGCGAAGGCGGCCCUCUGGACCGAUGCAUGACGC